GAUAGGACUCACUAUAUUGAUGCACCUAGCCGUUCCAGAAUCUCUCCUAAAUCAUGCUGUGACACCAUGCUGUCAACAAGGUCACCAUAUAUAUAGGUGUGCUUACAUGUAUCUUACGAUAAAGUGAAUUGCUUGCUUUAUAAUUUCUUGUGUGCUUACAUAUAUCCUAUGAUAAGGUAAAUUGGUUACCUUAUAACUUCUUGUGUGCUAACAUAUAUCCUAAGAUAAGGUAAAUUGGUUACCCUAUAACUUCUUGUGUACUUACAUAUAUCUUAUGAUAAAGAAAAUUGGUUUCUUUAUAACUUCUUAUGUACUUACAUAUAUCUUAUGAUAAAGAAAAUUGGUUUCUUUAUAACUACUUGCGUACCUCUUAUAUCUUAUGAGAAAGUAAGUUGCUUACUUUAGAUAUUCUUUUGUGUUAAAAUUGUGUGCCUUAAAAUGUCUUACCAUAGAGCCAACUGGUCACAUUAUAUACCCUUUUUAUGUAGUGAAUUGAAUGCUUAAACAUAUCUCCUUGUGGAGAAACAUUGGAGGAAUACAAAGAACAUGUGGAAACUCUGGAACGUUUAUCAAAGGAUCUUUUGUUAUCAGGAGAGUAAAACAGGGAAAUCUGCAGAAAAAGCUGAGUCGUUAGUCGUCACUUGGUCUUUUUGGUUCUUCUGCUGUCGGUGUGGUGUCGUGUGCUCUGCUCUGCCCUGCUCUUCUGCUUCCAAAAAACUGUGGCCUUCAUAGCAAUAGAUUUUCAUCUUAGGGACUCUGACACCGUAGCGCUCGGUUCAGACUCUAUUUUCUUUUUAGUUUAGUUUUAGAAAUCCAACCUCGGGCUCCACCGGAGAGAAAGUCGGUAACUCAGUUUUAGAAAUCCAACCUUGGGCUCCACCCGAGAGGACGUUGGUACUUAGAAAUCCAGCCUCAAGAGCCUCUUAAGAGAAAGUUGGUACUUUUAAUAGGAAUCUUCUUUAGCACUAGCUUAGUCUCAAGCGUGAUUAAAUAAAGGCAACUCUCGGGGUCAUGCGGUGUACUGAGGCACGAGAGUUGCGUCAACGUUAAAACCUGGGCUCCACUUGGGAAACGUUGUUGAACUUAGACUUAGAAACCCAACCUUGGCUCCACCCGAGAUAAACGUUGGUACCUAGACUUAGAAACCCAACCUUGGGCUCCACCCGAGAGAAACGUUGGUACCUAGACUUAGAAACCCAACCUUGGCUCCACCCGAGAGAAACGUUGGUACCUAGACUCAGAAACCCAACCUUGGAAUCCACCCGAGAGAAACGUUGGUACUUUUAAUAGGCCAUUCUUCAUCUAUUUUCUUCUUCUUUUACUAUCUUUUCUUUUCAAAUCUAUACUCAGUUGUAAAAGUUAUUGUGUUUAUUGGACCUAAGAAUAAAUCUACCUGACUACAUUUGUAGUAGGUAAACUCAA